rnacentral:rRNA from 1 species
UACGGGGGGGGCAAGCGUUGUUCGGAAUUACUGGGCGUAAAGGGUAGGUAGGUGGUCUCGUUUGUCUGGGGUGAAAGCCUUGAGCUUAACUCAAGAAGUGCCCUAGAAACGGCGAGACUGGAGUCCUGGAGAGGGUCGUGGAAUUCCCGGUGUAGCGGUGAAAUGCGUAGAGAUCGGGAGGAACACCAGAGGCGAAGGCGGCGACCUGGACAGGUACUGACACUCAACUACGAAAGCGUGGGGAGCAAACAGG